GACGGGACCGCACAAGCGGUGGAUGAUGUGGUUUAAUUCGAUGCAACGCGAAAACCUUACCCACCUUUGACAUGUACGGAAGUUGCCAGAGAUGGCUUCGUGCUCGAAAGAGAGCCGUAACACAGGUGCUGCAUGGCUGUCGUCAGCUCGUGUCGUGAGAUGUUGGGUUAAGUCCCGCAACGAGCGCAACCCUUGUCAUUAGUUGCUACGAAAGGGGCACUCUAAUGAGACUGCCGGUGACAAACCGGAGGAAGGUGGGGAUGACGUCAAGUCCUCAUGGCCCUUAUAGGUGGGGCUACACACGUCAUACAAUGGCUGGUACAAAGGGUUGCCAACCCGCGAGGGGGAGCCAAUCCCAUAAAGCCAGUCGUAGUCCGGAUCGCAGUCUGCAACUCGACUGCGUGAAGUCGGAAUCGCUAGUAAUCGCGGAUCAGAAUGUCGCGGUGAAUACGUUCCCGGGUCUU
rnacentral:rRNA from 1 species